AGUCUAUUAAGAUAAUACUCCUCUCAGUUCUACUGAAAAUAUGUGUAUAACUGAUGUGUAUUCUCCUUUUAUAGACAGGAUAAUGAAAAGACAAUGAAAAUAUAUCCAAAUUGACAAAGAGGGUUUGUUUCUUGCUACUGUUUCUUGCUACUGUGCAGAAUGGAGUGCAUGCACCUAUGAAACUCACAUCUCCUUCCCUUCUCCCUGAGAAGUUGAAUUCACAGCAGAUGGAUCCACUGGCAGUACUUAAUCUGGGGAGAGAGAUGUUUUCCGAAGCGUUGGCUUCCCUCCAGCUGCAGCAGAAGGCAGCAGGGAUGUGAGACUCCUGAACCUGCCUGCACCUCCUGGAAGAAGAGGAUAGGGCAGGAAAUGGCAGAGAAAAAGGACUAGAUCCUUUGCAGG
ensembl:lncRNA